rnacentral:tRNA from 1 species
GCCUGGGUGGCUCAGUCAGUUAAGCGUCCGACUUCGGCUCAGGUCAUGAUCUCAUGGUUGUGGGUUCGAACCCCACAUCGGGCU